rnacentral:rRNA from 1 species
ACGGCUCAGUAACACGUAGUCAACCUACCUUAAAGACACGGGCAAUCCCGGGAAACUGGGGCUAAUCCGUGGCAGGUUUAGAGUUCUGGAAUGGCUCUAAGCUCAAAGGGUUGGACGAGCAUGCUCGUUCAGUCGCUUUAAGACGGGACUGCGGCCGAUCAGGUUGUUGGUGGGGUAGUGGCCCACCAAGCCAGUAACCGGUGCGGGCUCUGAGAGGAGGGGCCCGGAGAUGGACACUGAGACAAGGGUCCAGGCCCUACGGGGCGCAGCAGGCGCGAAACCUUUACACUGCACGAAAGUGCGAUAAGGCUAUACCGAGUGCCAUCCGCUGAGGGUGGCUUUUCCUAGGUCUAAAUAGCCUGGGGAAUAAGGGGAGGGCAAGCCUGGUGUCAGCCGCCGCGGUAAUACCAGCUCCCCGAGUGGUCAGGACGAUUAUUGGGCUUAAAGCAUCCGUAGCCGGCUUUGUAGGUCCCUUGUUAAAUCCAACGGCUCAACCGUUGGAAUGCAGGGGAUACCGCGGAGCUAGGGGGCGGGAGAGGCGGACGGUACUCCAUAGGUAGGGGUAAAAUCCUUUGAUCUAUGGAAGACCACCAGUGGCGAAGGCGGUCCGCUAGAACGCGCCCGACGGUGAGGGAUGAAAGCUGGGGGAGCGAACCGGAUUAGAUACCCGGGUAGUCCCAGCUGUAAACGAUGCAGGCUAGGUGAUAGAGAGGCUACGCGCCUCCCUAGUGCCGCAGGGAAACCGAUAAGCCUGCCGCCUGGGGAGUACGAUCGCAAGGUUGAAACUUAAAGGAAUUGGCGGGGGAGCAC